UCGGAUCCUUCCCGGCUGUUCCAGUCAUGGUCCACGAUGCCGAUGGGGGUCGGUAUGCUGUGGAGCUUCGACGAUGGAGCGCGUAUCUCAUAUCCGGAGAUCAUGAGCUCUGCAGCACCGCCGACACCACAACUCAACUUCGCCGGUAAAAGUUCUGAAUUGCAUCGAUUCGUUCUUGGCGUUUCUUCAUUCACGCAGAUUAAUUAUAACACACUGUGGUUCCCUCUUUUGAACAUUUACCCCCGGAGUGGUGGUCGACAGAGCCCGUAGUAACGCCUGCAUUCUCAAGGGGCUCUCAAGGGUUUCGCAUGCUUAGCUACAUACUUGGCUGGAUAUUCUAUGAAGGAUCCGGUGCUGGGCAUCGAGAAAGAAGAACAAUAGCCUUCUCUCUGCUGGCGUGUGUAUCGGUGAAUUCCUUGUACUGGUUAUCGAUUCAGUGAGCUGCAGCUCUUGAACCUACAUCAAUUCCCCAAUUUGUUCUUUCGCUGUUGUUUUCCUUCGCGUUUUCUACCUGAAAUUUUCUCCAGUUCGCGCGUUGCGGCCUCGUCCCAGCCUGCCAACCGGCAUCCUUGAUCUGAUCCAAAUCGAACACCGCCACCACCGCCCAGGCUGCGUAAUCGAUCCAAAUCCGCCGCCGCCACCAGCCUCCAGGUCCUUUUGGCCGCGUCGGUUGUAGGUGUGCAGAUGAACAUGCAGGUGCUGUAGCGGGAGAUCGAGGCGAGCGGCUUGCAGCAGCGCGACAUCCGGCCCGAGCCAGAGGAAGAUAAUGGCGGCCGGGGCCCAUUGCAUAGACCGCUGUUGGUGAAGCUGCAGCAACAGAUUAGCAGCGGGUUGGACGGCCCUAUAUGCUCGUGCUUAAGGGGCUGGAAAGAAGUAGUUAGGGAUAUAAACAGAUCAUAUACGGACCGAAAUUAUUGAUUAUCAUAUUUAUUUUUAUAUUUUUGUUUGAAUAUGGAAUUGGAUACAAAUAGUAUUAGUUUUUGCUGAAUAAAAUUAUAGUGGAUGUCGAUAUUAUAAAAAUGUAAUUUUUAGUAUCCGCAUACGAAUCGGUUACAAAUAUUAAAUAUUUAAAAACGGAUACAGACAAAUAAAAAUCCUUUUCAAACUGAAUGGAAUUCGAAUAAAUCGAAAAAUAUUCAUACCAUUUAUACCCUUAGAAAUAGCAGUCACAGUCUCUUUGUAGGAGGAGCAGCGGGGCUAGGGCCGCGGCGGCCCAGCUUGCCGGGAAGGGGUGGUCGGUCAUGCGACUAUGGGAUGGGAGGUAGAAGCCUUGAUGAGAAAAAAGGAAGGAGGAACACGACAAGGAUGGCAUGUAACUUGAGCGUGUCGUCCAUCUCAAUCAAUCACUCCACGCCGGAAUGCCGGAUCAAAACAGGGUGGAAGGGUUGAAAGGUGCGGGCUGUCUGAUUUUAGUUUAAGGAUGAAAAUGAGAGGAUAAUGAUGAAAUAUGGAUAAUGAGAGGAUAAUGAUGAAAUAUGGACUUUGCAUUACAUUCUCCGAUUUUUACAUGUCAUAUUUACUUUGUUCCAAAACAAACUUAUCCAACUUUUCCCAAAUUUAUAAAAAUAUUUAAUAUCUGUACCGAAGAAAAUAUAUUCUAGGCUCUAAUUAAACAAAUUUGGUAUUGUAGAUAUUGUUCCAUUAAUAUGGUAAGUGUUGGAUAAGUUUAACUUAGGAUAAUGCAAAUUUAAUAUGUAAAUAAAAAUGGAGAGAGUAUUAGAAAAUAAUAUCGAUUUUUUGUUACACUACAAACUGCCUAAAACAAGAAGUCACCACAUGCCUGUUUAGUGGGUAAAAUAUCAUUGUACUGUAGUGCGGCUGCUACUAGCAAAUUUAUAGUAUGCAGCUUCGCCACGGUCUCCGCCAGCCUUUUUGGUGGGGUGCAUCCAAGUGUAGGCGGCCUAUCCUAAGAUUUGACCUAAGCAUUCUUAUCUUCUAAUUUUUUCUUAUCGGUUUUUAUUUAUGACUUACAAAAAAUAGCUACUAAUUAUUUUUAUAUACAACAAUUGUUAACUAAAAUAAGAAGAUAAAUUUUGAAAAAUUAUAUUUUUUAUAAGAUUAAAUUAUAUUGAUUUCUUCACUAAGAUAUAAAAAUAUUAAUUAGACCAUCCUAAUAAGAAAUUCUAGAUUCUCCUUCACCGCGUUGCUCGCCACCACCCGACCGCUGCCAUGAAGGGUACCAUAUAUAGAUAAGAAGCAAGGAUUAACCUCAACCCCCAUCCCGACCCCCACCCACACCCGAAAAAAACUUUAUUGAUAGGUAGAUUCCUCAAGCUUAAAUUGUGAAAAAUAUAAGUUAACAAAAAUUAUUUAGAGUAAAUUGCACUCCAGGUCUCCAAACUUAUCCCGAGAUUUCGCUUCGGUCCCUGAACUCUUAAAUUGUGCAUCUGGAUCCCUAAACUCUAUUAAGUGUUUCACUUAAGAUCCCAAAUGCGCCAUGCAAGCGUCCAGAGCCGACGUGGCAUGCCACAUAUUGCCACAGUGGCGAAUAUUUAUAAAACCACCCCUCUAGAGUUCCUUCUUCUCCCAUUUGAUAAUCUCCCCUCUCUCUCUCACACACACAGACGGCAGUCACGGAGGUCCUCGGCCUUACCUCCCUAGCGCCGGCCGGCCACCAUGCCACGCCAAUGGCCGCCCGUGCAGGCCACCACCGUGCCACACUCGCGGCCAUAUCCCGCGUCGGCCUCCUCUACAUCCGCCGCCGCGCCACGCCGACGGCCGCUACCCGCGCACUCGGCCGCCCGCCGCCCAGUGUUCUGUUGUGGUGGCAGGGAAAGAGCAGGAGGAGGUGCAGGACACGGUGCGCGCCCGCCGUAGUGGGCGCACAGCCGCCCAUGAGCUCCACCACGCUCCGCCAUGGAUCUCUCUGCUCCCUUCCCCUUUUCUUCUCUUCCCUCUCAUACCACCGCAGAUCAAUCGCUCGCCGGCCAAAUCCGUCGGCCAUGGCAUUCCUACUCGAUUCCUCCAUCAAGCACCCUUCCCACUUGCUCCUCCACCACUCAGCCUCCUUCCCGACUCAUUCCGCCUGCUCCAUGGCGGGGAAUCGGCACACUACUGCCGGUCGCCAUUGGAGCCACACGAGCUCCACCCUCACCGACGACCACGUUAUGUACUCCCCUCAUCCUUGUUGGCCCUUUCCCCGCCAGCUUCCAUCUGUCAUCGGUGUCAAAACGCCGUGUUCCAACUUGCAGGGCCGCCACGGCCAUGCCCACCGCCUGCUCACCUUGGGCAAGGCGUGGCGACGGCCUGCGCGGGCUACAACCAUGGGCAACACGCGACGCCGGCUGGUGCAGCGGCGGCUUGUGUGGCGCCGGCAGCCUGUGCGGGCGAAGGUGCUCGACGGACUGAGAAUGGAAGGGAUAGAGAUAGAGAGGGGGAGAGAGGGAGGGAGAAAAGAGCAAAAGGGAGAAGACAAAAAUAUGCAAGGAGAUAUUUGCAAAUAUUUGCCACCGCCUCGGCAACACGUGGCAUGCCACGUCGGCUUAGGAUAUUUGCGUGGUGCAUUUGGGACCUUAGAUGAAACACCCCAUAGAAUGUAGGGAUCCAAUGCACGAUUUGAGAGUUCAGGGACCCAAACGAAUUCUCGAGACAAGUUUAGCGACAUGAGGUGUAAUUUACUCAUUAGUUUAUUUAAUUAUAUCUAUCAUAAUUAGGACAUAAGACCCUCAGUCCUUGUACCAUAUUACACUACUACAAAAAUAAUUUUUUUCAGAGACAGGCCAAAAUAUAACCCGCUCCUACAAAAGGAGUGAGGUUACUAUAGCAGCUGACCCGCCCUUAAAAAUUUAUUUUUAGGAGCAGGUGACGCCAUUACUCACCCUUAAAAAUAACGUUAUUUUCAAAGACGGCUGACGCCAUUACCCAAUCCUAAAAACAAUAUUAUUUUUAGGGGCAGGUGAUAACAUUACCGUUCCCUAAAAAUAGGGCGUGAUUUUUAGAUGUCACCUGCCCCUAAAAAUAAAAAAACAUUUUUUUAAUUCAAAAAAUAAAAAAACAUUGACGCAUAGAGUAAAAAGCAAUGACGCGGGGAGUAUAAAACAAAGCAGCGGGCGGCAACACAUGCUCCUCUCUCUCCCUUAUCUCUUCGGUAUCUCUUCAGUCUUCUCGCCCCAUCUCUCCCUCUGCCACAGGCCACCACUCCUCCCCGGCCUCAUCUCUUCCCUGCAGCGUCACCACCUCCACUCUCUUGUCGCACGGGGCUGCAACGCACGGCAGCGGCGCGGGUGAAAGGCGGCGUGCCAGGUCUACAGCGCACCGCGGCGGCACGAGGCAGGCCUGGGCCUCGGCGGCGCGAGGCGGGCCGGGGCAGACACCCACUGACGCCACUCGUCUCCUACAUCGCCUCCGCCAUCCGCACGUGGGCGCUUGAGCACCACCUUGCCACCUCCUUUCGGGACCUCGACGCCGAGCUCGCCGUCGUCCUCGACGUUCUCCCCGCCUUCUCGCGGGGAGCAGCAGCGGCCGGUGCGGCGCGGCAACGGCAUGGAGCGCGGAUCGCGGCACAGUGGGAGCACGGUGGCGGCGCGAGCACGGCGCGGGGGAGCAGCAAUGCUCAGAGGUCAGAGCAGCUGCUGCACCUGCAGACAAUUUUUUUUUGUUUUUCUAUUCAAUCGAUAGGGGCGGGUUGCGGCGUGAUCCGCCCCUAAAAACCCCAUUUCUAGGGGCAUGACUCGCUCUUAGAAAUGAGUUUUUACAUUUUAGGGGCAGCCGUAUUACCCGCCUCUACAAAUAGCACUUGUAGCAGCAGAAACUAGGAACGGUUAUCAAGCAUGCCUCUAAAAAUACAUUUUUACCUGUCCCUAAAAAUUAUUUUCGUAGUGAUGUUAAGUUGUAUGCACUGACUAAUUUACCAUAAAAUCUGAAAAAGUUGAACAAUUCACUUAUACUUUAGCACGAAAAAGUUGUAUUCAUGUUGCCUGAAACCUUAAAUAUGAUAAUAUGUGUUAGAUACAAUAACAUGCCAGGAUUCAAACUUGACACCCUUGUAUCUGAUACCACAUUCAGUUGCAUCCCUCGAUCAGUCCAACCAUAAAACUGAAGCAGGUAGCAAAGCGUGGACAAUUAAUAAGAAGCCAGGGGAACAAAUCUCCUAAACAGUUUUUAGUGACUAUUUCGUGUAUACCCCAUCUGUGCUUUCUUUACUACUUCUAUUUGGAGCCGAGGUGGUAAAAAAUAUCCCGUGAAAGAAAAUGCCAUGAAAAUUUUGAUGUCUAUCAUAAACAUGAGAUCAGCGCAAAAGCGUGUUAAAAGUCCCAACAAAGAAAGUUGGAACGAAGUCACGAUGGAAAAACAAAACCUGGUCUUUGCAGCAUUGUUGAGGCAUCAGGCAUCUGGCAUCCCUGUGUCCAAUACAUUAACUUAUUUUUUCACUGGAAAAACUCAGUUACAGAAUGCUUUUUCAUCCCUCUAUACUCUUUAUGCACGGGCACUAACAGUUCACAUUAUCAGACAAAGCGCGUCGUCGCAUUAAAAAGAAAGAAAUCUUCCCUGAGGGAUGAGAUCGAGACAAUACGUUGUUACCUGAAGGCCCCUGAUAGAUCUGAGUAUAUGGUAAUUACCUUGGUGAACCAAUUCCUAGAGGUGGUCAGCGAGGUUGACUGCUGCCUCAUGGAUUUGUCGGCCAUGAGGGGGUCACUACCUAGUAAAGCCAAGCAGAUCGAGGAGCUCACAGCCAAAGUGGAGGAUAUCAGCCAAAGGAUUGUGCCCUAUCGCCCCAUCGAGCCAGCUGGCCAUUCUAGGAUGCUUGGUGCAGCAACACUGUGCACAGCGGCCGCCCAGUUAGACUAUAUCUCAGCUUUGAUGAAACAAGUUUUCUCCCGUUUAAAGAUGGUAGGCGAUUCAGUUUUGAGGAUUUGGUCUCAAGACCAUGCGUUUUUUUGUGAGAACCAUGAGCAGAAUAACAGUACACGUGCCCAAAAUUCUGAAGGUUCCUACUGUUCAGCAUCCCAGAACAAUAGUACCAGAGGCUGUAGAGUUCAACAACAUGAGAAAGGGAGGAAGGGAAUUUCAGCGAAGCAGCGUUCAAAGGCUGGUUCAGUAGUUUGGUUACACUUCAGCAAGAAUUCUUCCAAUGUUCCAAGGCAUCCUGAGAGUGUUCUUCAGAUGGACCUAUCAGCUCACUCAGAAGCGGCGCAGAGGUCUUCUUGUUCACAGGUGCUACAGACCAGAGAAAUUGCUGAGAAUGCGAUGCCUUUGAUAAAAAAUGAGAGGAUUGUGGUUGACUGUGAGCAAAUUAAGCUAGGCAACAAUGAUGUCAAAGCUCGAAUAGGUAAAUUAUCAAGAAAGUGCAACAAGUACACUUCAGGGUCUAAAUCAGAAGUUUGGCUUCAUUUCGAAAAAUUGGUGUCCGUUGAAGAUUCUGGCGUCAAGGCAAAGUGCAUAUACUGUGACAAGGUGUUGAAAGCUGAUUCAAAAAGAAAUGGUACUUCUCGCCUGCGGAGGCAUAUUAUCGGUUGUCACAAGAUAGAGUUUGCCGGAUCACUGAUAAUCAAGAAGAGACAAUCAAAAAACAAAAACGAAUUAGCCAGCACCCACAACCAAGACAAAGAUCAAGCUUCUCCUGAUUGCCAUCGUUUCAACAGUAUUGUAAGAGCUGCCUCCGCGAAUGGUCCUUCUCACCAGGGCCUACAGUUCACUGAAAUAGUAGGGAAUCCCAUGCCUUCCACUAAAAAGAAGAGCGCGGAAGUUCAACCAAGUAAUAAGUCAAGAAAGCACACCAAGUGUACUUCGAGGUCAAGAUCAAAAGUUUGGCUACAUUUCUCAAGAGUGGCGAACAUUAAAGAUCCCUGCGUUAUUAAGGCAAAGUGCAGACAAUGUGGCAAGCUGUUCAGAGCUGACUCAAAAAUAAAUGGUACUUCUCACCUGCGAAGACACAUUAUCGGUUCUCACAAGAUAGAGUUAGCUGGAUCAGUCAAAACUACAGGAAAUUGUGGGAACGAUUCAAAUGUCAACCAAGAAGAGACCAGCAUCGACAACCAAGCCAAAGAUCGUGCUGCUGCUGAAUGCCGAGGAAUUGAGCAUGACAGUGCCUAGAGAGGUGAUCGUCCUGGAUUCUCAAAACUCAGGUUCGACGAGCUCUGCAGCUGGCUCCUCAUGUCAUCCAUCAUUGGCACUCUGCUUCGUUCGUUGUCUUUUGUUCCAGGAGCUUUCUGGUCUACUGUUUAGCUGAAUAUUUUCUUUCUGCUCUGCAUCCUCCCUGUAGCCAGUAGUUGCAUGUUCAAUUCUUCUGUACCAGCGUUAAUCAAGAGUAUUUCUGCCUUAACAACUCAAUGGACACCAGUUUCUAUUUCACUUAUGCCCUCUUACUGUUUCAGGCGAUGCAGUUGUUAAGAUAUCUAAACCAGAAAGGCAGAUAAUUAACAAGAUUAAGUCAACAGAAGAGGAAGAGGUUCUAGUGCACAUCGAUGAUGUUAAUAUACAGAAGAAGGUAUUGGAAAGCCUAGCAGAUCCCAUGUUGGAGGAUGGUCCACCAAAGUACUUGCAGGACGAUAUCAUAGAUGCAUGCAUUCACAUGUUAAGAGACAAAAACAAAAAUGACAUCAGGGCUCACGGAAAGGUCUUCAUUGAGACUACGAUGAUAUGCCAACUCCUACAUAAAGCCGCUUGCUCUUUCUACCCAAUAAGAGGAAAAGAAAUAAAAGAUCACAAGAAAUAUGGGAUGCAGUACCUUAAACAUGACAUGAUUUUCCUACCUAUAAACCAGAAUGGUAAUCAUUGGUACCUUGCGGUUGUCAACACAAAGAAACAAGAGAUUCAAGUGCUUGAUUCCCUGGGAAAGCAGCUUCGAGAACGUGAAGAACUGAAAUAUACACUUAAACAAAUUGAGCAAUGCCUCAAGCUUGCGGGCAAUGACGUUCAAACCAGUAGCUGGCUGGAUUACAAAGUUGCAUCUUGGAAGGUCAGACAAGUAAAAGAGAUACCAGAGCAAACAGACAUGUCGUCAUGUGGACUUUUCAUGAUCAAGUACCUCGAGUACUGGACAGGAGAAAAGUUGAACCAAGAAUUUACGCAGUCGGACAUAGACCACUUCAGGCUUAAAUUGGCAUAUGAACUGAUGAGCAGUCCACUCAACAAGGCUCGCAGGUAGAAAGCUUCCAGGGAGAUGGUUUGCAAGGAAAAAAAAGGCUGGCAACGAAGAGGCUGUCUAGAAUAGGUUGCUCGGCAGCUUGCACUGCUGAAUUAGAAUAAUUGCAGCCACUAAAAUAUGUUUGGUAAGCUCCGGCUGGCCCCUCCGUUCGCCCCCCUGAUUGUUAUCUUUUGUUCCUGGAGAUUCGUAGCCAACUGUAGUCGAAGCUCCAUGUUUACCUGCUCUGCACCAUCUCUUAGGGGUGUUGUUGUUUUCGCAAGAUUGCAACUUGUUGUAUCCGUGUCUUCGGUUAUUCGAUUUGUAAUGCGCUUUUCCUUCAAAAAAAAUUUGUAAUGCACUUUAUCUUCACUCUUUGUUGUCCCUGUUCACUGUCGUUUCUGAGCCUA